rnacentral:sRNA from 1 species
UUCUGUGCCUGAUGAUUUUCAUCCUGGGACUGACUUUUGUGGAAUUCCUUGGAUAGUUAUCAUUAUUGUGUUUCUGGGACUUUCUACACUUGCCAUUUUCCUCUGGAAAACUAGCCUUUGUGUGUCGUUCCUCAAGACUGUCUUAAAGUCACAAAAUGUACAUGACGGAUCCAAGGAUGUACAGCGGAAAGCCUGGAGGUCCAAUAGCCGUAGCCGGGAAG